rnacentral:misc_RNA from 1 species
UCUGCCUUAUCGGCAAGCGGUAUCGUUAAAGUGCCCAACUUAAUGCUGGCAAUUAACAAAGAGGGUUGCGCUCGUUGCGGGACUUAACCCAACAUCUCACGACACGAGCUGACGACAGCCAUGCAGCACCUGUCACCACGUCCCUUGCGGGAACUCCUGCUUUCACAGGAUAGCGUGGGAUGUCAAGCCCAGGUAAGGUUCUUCGCGUUGCCUCGAAUUAAACCACAUACUCCACCGCUUGUGCGGGCCCCCGUCAAUUUCUUUGAGUUUUAACCUUGCGGCCGUAAUCCUCAGGCGGGUCACUUAACGCGUUUGCUACGACACCGAGAGGGUAAGAACUCCCGACAUCUAGUGACCAUCGUUUACAGCGUGGACUAC